rnacentral:lncRNA from 1 species
AAACAAUAUUGGCAAUGAAUCAAAAAUAAAUGUUUCCUUUUCUUUCCAAUUCAUUAAUUAGGCAACUAAUUUGAAACUGGUGUGGGUGGCUCUAUAUAUACUAGCCCACUGCAGCCACAUGCAGAAAUCAACAUGGAAUCGAAAAGAAAACCAAACUGGCGAGAGGAGGAGACACUGUUGUUAGUAGAGCUAGUCGAGGAAAGGAAGCUCAUCAUUAAAGGCAAGUUCAGCCCGACGCUUACCAGCCAUGAUAAAAAACAGGCAUGGGAAGACAUAUCAAAUCAACUUAACGCCUCUCAAACCUUCAGCCAUCGGUCACCAGCUGACUGCGAGAAGAAGUGGUAUAACGUUCUCUCGAAAAGCAGAAGUGAAAUCGCAGCUUUCAAGGCCUGCUCCAUGCGCACUGGCGGAGGACCACCUGGCAAAGAUUUGAGCGCAGUUGCAGAAGUUGUGCAGCGCAUUCUUGGAGAGGAUAACCCCAGCAUCUCUGGGUUGGACGGCGGCCAGGAUCCAGCUGCGAUGAAGCUUGAGUUGCUUUCAAAAGGUUUGGAUCGAGAUGCAUUAGAGUCUCCUGUGUCCCACUCCCCUGCGCACUCUCCCUCUGCCUUUGACGCGGUGCAGCCAGGCCCAAGCACUUCGUGUGAGGCAACAGGCAACAAUCAAGUGGUGGGUGAAAAAGAAAAAGAAGAAAUCAACUUAAGUUUAUCACAUCUUGAGCAUGCCGUCUCUUUUGUUUUUCAGGCCGAGGUGAGUGAUUGCGACUCAGCAGAGGAGACGGAUGAUCUGCAGGCACUGCGGAGACAAAAAAUUAAGCUGCAAAUUAAAGUGCUGCGGCUCCAAGAGGAGUACUACAGCUUGGCUUUAAAAAAAAGAAAAAAUACCGAGUGACUAAUAAAAUGAAUUGAUAAAAAGCCGCUGUAUUGAUGAUUUAUUGUUCUUACCCAAAGUGGAGGUUGGCGAAGUGUUGUCUGAAGGCUGCCCCAUCACAUGGAUGGAUGUUGCCAGGGACGCUCGCGUCUCCAUCUCCUCCCUCAUCGUCAUCAUCGUCUGCUGGUGGAAGUGGGACAUUGCGCUCCUUACAAAUGUUGUGCAGUAUUGCACAUGCCAUAAUGAUACGGCACACUCUGUCUGGAGUGUGCCGUAUCUCUACUUGCGUGUUGAUGCUGUGGUACCUCUUCCUAUUAACAAACACACUCUCGUCCACACUUGGAG